UACGUAGGGUGCGAGCGUUAAUCGGAAUUACUGGGCGUAAAGCGUGCGUAGGCGGUUCGUUAAGUCAGCUGUGAAAGCCCCGGGCUCAACCUGGGAAUUGCGGUUGAAACUGGCGAACUAGAAUCUGGCAGAGGGGGGUGGAAUUCCACGUGUAGCAGUGAAAUGCGUAGAGAUGUGGAGGAACACCGGUGGCGAAGGCAGCCCCCUGGGCUGAGAUUGACGCUCAGGCACGAAAGCGUGGGGAGCAAACAGG
rnacentral:rRNA from 1 species